GGAAGUAAAAGUCGUAACAAGGUUUCCGUAGGUGAACCUGCGGAAGGAUCAUUGUCGAGCAUAACAGAAAGACCCGCGAACACAUCCUCCACACGCUUGGCUUUGCUCAGGUCGUGCGGCCUAGGCCGUCACCCGUGGCACAAGCAACCAACCCCCGGCGCAAAAAGCGUCAAGGAAAAACAAAGAAACGACCCAUGCUGCCACGCUUGCGGAAAUGCAGUGUCGUGGUGGUGGAUUCGCAGUUGAGUAAAGUCUAAACGACUCUCGGCAACGGAUAUCUCGGCUCUCGCAUCGAUGAAGAACGUAGCGAAAUGCGAUACUUGGUGUGAAUUGCAGAAUCCCGUGAACCAUCGAAUUUUUGAACGCAAGUUGCGCCCGAAGCCAUCAGGCCAAGGGCACGUCUGCCUGGGCGUCCCACGAUAUUGGCCCGUGUUUGUUGAGCGGGCUGAAAGUGGCCUCCCGUGAGCGUAAGCUUGCGGUUGGUCCAAACUCGGGUCCUCGGCCACGCGGUCGUGGCGAAAGGUGGUUGCUUAAAAUUUGACCGAGCAUCGUCGCGUGCGUAGGCCUCGUAAGAGGACCCAUAAAAAAACCCCGAAGCAAUCGUCGAGGAUGCUUGAAAUGGGACCCCAGGUCAGGCGGGGUUACCCGCUGAGUUUAAGCAUAUCAAUAAGCGGAGGA
rnacentral:rRNA from 1 species